GUGGGGAAUCUUAGACAAUGGGGGAAACCCUGAUCUAGCCAUGCCGCGUGAGCGAUGAAGGCCUUAGGGUUGUAAAGCUCUUUCAGAUGGGAAGAUAAUGACGGUACCAUCAGAAGAAGCCCCGGCUAACUCCGUGCCAGCAGCCGCGGUAAUACGGAGGGGGCUAGCGUUGUUCGGAAUUACUGGGCGUAAAGCGCACGUAGGCGGACCAGAAAGUCAGAGGUGAAAUCCCAGGGCUCAACCUUGGAACUGCCUUUGAAACUCCUGGUCUUGAGGUCGAGAGAGGUGAGUGGAAUUCCGAGUGUAGAGGUGAAAUUCGUAGAUAUUCGGAGGAACACCAGUGGCGAAGGCGACUACCUGGACUGAUACUGACACUGAGGUGCGAAAGCGUGGGGAGCAAACAGGAUUAGAUACCCGGGUAGUCC
rnacentral:rRNA from 1 species